GCGGGUGUAGCUCAGCGGUAGAGCGCCUGCCUUCCAAGCAGGAUGUCGCGGGUUCGAAUCCCGUCACCCGCU
rnacentral:tRNA from 1 species